CCUAUAGAGAGUACAAGAACUUGUAAGUAGUGAUUGACUUGUCAACACAAAAGCAUACUCGUUGAAGUAGGAA
ncrna:unclassified sequences RAGATH-18 RNA